AUUUAAAUAGUUUAAUAAAAAAAAAUAUUGAUUUGUGAGGUCAAGGAUGUGGUUUACACUUUAGAUA
rnacentral:tRNA from 1 species